CAUGAAAUGUCAAAUUUGCCAUCACAAAUAUGUCUCUUCAAAGGCCACAACAGUAUAAUAUAAGAGGGAUAAAAAUGUCAAGUUAUCUCAUAAAUUAACCAAUAUUAAGUAUUUAACAUAUAGUUAAGUAAAAUUUUUUAACAGAUUCUAACGGCAGUGAUAUAUUUGAAAAUACUAGAAUUUUUAUAAAGAUAAUAUAUGACAGAUGAACUUUGUAGGAGUAUAUUUAUAAUUUAUUAUAUUUAUAAAAAACCGUAUGCAAUUAAGCCAUAAAAGAAAUAUGAGUAAUGAUAAGGUAAUAGAUCAUUUUU
rnacentral:lncRNA from 1 species